rnacentral:rRNA from 1 species
UAAAAGUCGUAACAAGGUCUCCGUAGGUGAACCUGCGGAGGGAUCAUUACAGAGUUCAUGCCCUCCGGGUAGAUCUCCCACCCAUUGCUAUAACUACUCUCGUUGCUUUGGCGGGCCGCUGGGCCCUGCCCGGCCGCCGGCCCCGGCUGGCGCGUGCCCGCCAGAGACCUCACAGACUCUGAAUGUUAGUGUCGUCCGAGUAACUAUAUAAUCGUUAAAACUUUCAACAACGGAUCUCUUGGUUCUGGCAUCGAUGAAGAACGCAGCGAAAUGCGAUAAGUAAUGCGAAUUGCAGAAUUCAGUGAGUCAUCGAAUCUUUGAACGCACAUUGCGCCCUGUGGUAUUCCGCAGGGCAUGCCUGUUCGAGCGUCAUUUCAACCCUCAAGCCUCGCUUGGUGUUGGGCCCUGCCCGCCGCGGCCGGCCCUAAAGACAGUGGCGGCGCCGCCUGGCCCUCAGCGUAGUACAUCUCUCGCUCCAGGGUCCGGCGGCAGCCUGCCAGAAUCCCCCCAACUCUGUGGUUGACCUCGGAUCAGGUAGGGAUACCCGCUGAACUUAAGCAUAUCAAUAAGCGGAGG